rnacentral:lncRNA from 1 species
GUGGAUCCUGGCACCCCAUCUCCCUGAGCAGAGUGUCCUCAGCCGUGAAAUGCAGAUGACAAUCCUUGCCCCGAGGUGCCACAGUCCAGGGCGGCCCUUCCUCCCCACCCUGGCCUGCCCUCGAGGGACGCCAGGAGCCCGGCUGGGGUUGCCAAGCCCGAGUCUGGAGCUGCCCAGAUGGACACCUG